AGCCAUAGGGAAACAUAAUUUAGUGGGAGGGAACAUCCUAGACAAAUGUCUACUCCGUGGUUUAUGAGGGCAUGCAAUGCUAACCACACCUUUCACAGCUAAACCCCUGAAAACUGGGAGAUUGACAAAGGGGCCCAAACGUGAGGAGUAUUCAUUAAAAGAUGCAAAUAGCCAGAAUCUGUGCUGUUUUGUUUCAGUCUCCUUUAUCCCAUUGAAAACAGGAAAGCCUCCUGUCAAGCAGACUCAGAGAUUCUCAGGGCCCAAUAAAGUGAGCAAAACCAAAACUCCAGUGAGAAUAUGUGGGAUUUGAAGGAGUGGCAGCUAGCUUUACCUUUCCCAUGUGAGGAUGGGAAAGUACUAACUAACAGAGGAAACUCAGUAAGAGCUGAGAAGGAAGGCUACCACAAGUGGGAGCUGUAGCUACCAUCUAAUGCUGGUCCUGCAGCAACCAUAUGGAGAGCUUUAGCAGAGCAAGAACAUGCAGCUGAUGCUUUGUAUUAGAGGUGAAGAGGUGACUUGAAUUGUGCUACUGUUAAUUUGCCCUUUAAGCAGCUACAGCAGGGAGUCUAUAAUGGCAAGAAGCCGUGCAAGGAGAUUUGCCUAUCAGAUUAUUAUGUCAGAAAUGCUAAAGAUUGAAAGCAAUGGAAGGGCAAAUAGCUUUUGGUAACCAAUUUAACAUAAUCCACAGAGCUUUCAAGGACACCCAUUUGUAAAUAUGUUGUAAGUUUACUCAGAUAAAAUGCAUUCAUACCUACAUUUCUCCCCAGUAUUUUUAUGCUAGUGGAGACAAGAUGCUUUUGGUCCUUCAUUGCGUGUGUGUGUGUGUCUGUCUGUCUGUCUGUGUUUAAUGAUGCUCUUAACUCCUCUGUGCCAUGCCAGAGACUAUUUAAAGAACCGUCAUGGCAAAAUACACCCCAGUUGCAUUGUUUUUAGCAAUCCGUCCCACGACGACAAACAUAUUCCU